rnacentral:lncRNA from 1 species
UGGAAGGGCAGGGAGGGAGGGACGGGAGAGCUCAGGUUCCACCCCACCAGGCAGAGGGGGCGGAUGACAGAGGCAGGAUGGUUUAUAGGGAGCUGGAGCUCAGGAAGCUGCAUCCCAGCUGCAGAGAUUGCUUAAUUCCAGCUGCAGGACACGCCAAGCCCAGUGACCAUGCGGCCCGCAGUAUCCAUCGCUCUGAUCCUCCUGGCUCUGACGGUCCUGGCAGACUCUGCUCAGGUUGAACCGACAGAGCCAACCCUGACCCAAAAGUUUGAGAAGUUCCAGAACAAGCUGCAGGCCUUUGCUGAGAGCAUUGCAGAUAAAACCAAAGCCGCCUUCCAAGAACUGCAUCACAGGGAGUUCAGCGAAAAGGCCCGGUGAGUCACUGGGGCCUCAGUGGGGAGGCAGGGCUCCUGCAGAAACCAGUGACACUGAGACUGUCCCCUGGAGCUAAGCAGAGGUGGGGCCUGUUCCAGGAUUGGCUGGGAGACUGAAGUGGUGCACUUAGGAUGCUUCAGGCAGGGUUUGUACUGAGGGAGGGAAGGUGCUGCUGAAGACCCUCUUCCCAGCCCCACCCACACAAUCAGCUAUAGUCAAUUGUGCAGUGCCAUGACCCCCUUCUCUGGUCUCACAUUGUAAAUGAUGUUGACAUUUAAAUUAGCAUUGCUGAGCAUCAGAGUUAACUCCUCAGUGAGAUCCCCUUCAGGCUCUCUGCAGACUCAGGCAGAUGUCACUGCAUUGGUCAUGCUUGGGACAGAUCCCCUCUCUUGGAGCUGAGGCAAGGACUGGCACUCACUGUGUGUGUGCAGCACCUGGCACAACAGGAGCACCUGAUCUCGGACAGGGCCGUGCGGUGCUGGCAGGAUGGGAGCUUGAUCUUGGUCAGGGUCUGUGCAGCCCUUGGUGGCACUAUGGGGCCCAAUAGCUAGUGAAAUAUGAAUAGUGUAUCAUGUGAAGCAAUCCCAUGGGAAGUGCUGUGAAAUCCUGCUGGCUGAAAGGCGCAGCAGAUAAACUAGUAUGAUUUAGUUCACAGUUGGGACUGAGCUGGCCUCAUUAUCCUCACAGCUCCCAGGAGAAGUGGCUACACUAGAAAGGAAACACCCAUUCCUUAGCCAUGUGUGAA